AAAUAUCUUGUAUAUUAUCACCUUUGAGUAUGUUUCCUUUCAAAAAAAUCACAACAGAUAAUAUUAAUGUUCCACUUGGUACACCAUUCAGAAACACUUUUCUUAUACACUUAUCAUAUCAUAAUAAUUCAAUAAUAAACAAAGAAUUAUGACAUCUCACUAUUAUGUUAAUUUUUACAAUUCUAACAUAAAAUAUAUACGCCAAUAUCAUAUAGUUCAUACUGUAAUUUCACUAUAAUUGUAUAACAAGGACAUUGGUUUUCUAACACAGCAAGCAACAUGCGACACGCCCUACCCGUACAAAUCGCACACGAUGAUCCACCUGCCUCGAUCGAUCCUCGUCUCGACGCACACUGGCGCCCGAUCCCGGCGGUUCAAUCGAUUCUCGUUCGACUCGGGACACGUGACCCUACGUUGCCCUUCCCCAGUCUACCUCUCCCAGCAACAUACAUUCAGGCCAGUGAUUCCGGAUGGAAGCCCGAUGGAACGACAAAACCGGUCUAUCAACCGAGCCAGGUUCGCGCAGGUCCAGUUCAAUUUCAGCACCGAAGGAUUCGUCGUGCACCGAUCAAAGUAAGCAACACGUAACAAAUCGCGAUAUUGACCUGCGUUUAUUGUUUCUCGUAUUGUUCACCAAACCAGAGAAAUUCAAUCAUUCGGGAGAAAUAAACGCGAAGUUAAUCGACGAUGCACCACGAGGCUGGUUAACGAGACGACUAAUUCGAACGUGUUAGGUCCACGAGGAGCAGUUGCACGAUGGUGGUGGUGGCAACGUGUGCGAGUAGGAGUAGCGUGAAGAGAGGAGGAGGGGGUCCAGUCCUCACCACCCGCACUUACCAGCCGGACAAUAAAGAAAGGAAAGGGAGAGGCGAACAGCCGGUAAGGAGGAACAGAGAUACAUUAAAAGUCAUCCGACUCGUAUAGCCGACAGACCAGUGUGUGGUUCGUAUGGAAAGAUGACCCCAGAGAUGGGACUAGUAUUCACUGGGACCCCAGACCGAAUUAAACGCUACCAUUAGUUGGAAUGAUGAAGAGAGGAAGCACGGAUGUCGUGAAUAUUUCGUCAUUGGCACAUUAAUCUCUUUUUUGCUCAUUGGGCGUUGAAUUUUGAUAUGUGGAGAUUAACCUAGUUUUAUGGGUCGAGGAAUUUAUAGGAGAGUAAAAAAUAUUUUGAAGAUUGGAUUCAAAGUUAUAAUUACAUGAAAAUGAAGAAUCAGUUCAUUUUCUUUCCAAGGAAGAAUCAGUCGAUUUUCGAACUUUCGAAGCCCGUAAAGUUUCGAAAACACACAGACGACCCUGAAGAAGAAUUGAAUGGCACAGACAAUGAAUUUACACUCGUGGAGCACGCUUGCAUAUAGUGAAGGUUCGUUCCAGCUGACCAGGGUCGACCAUUGUCAUGUUAAUGAAUAGAAGACACAUUUUCGAGGUUAAAAGUUGCGCUUGUUCACGGAUUUCGUUCUAUGUAAUUAUCUUAUACCUGAACAUCAUGUAUAAUGCAAAUUGACAUGAAGAUACACGAAAAUAAUGAAAUAAAAUGUAACUUUAUCAAAUUUAGUUUUAAAAUGUAUAUUAGAUUGAAUGUUUGAAUCAAUGGAUGUCAUUAAAAUUCUUA